rnacentral:rRNA from 1 species
AGUGAACGCUGGCGGCAGGCCUAACACAUGCAAGUCGAAGGGCAGCACAAGAGAGCUUGCUCUCUGGGUGGCGAGUGGCGGACGGGUGAGGAAUGCAUCGGAAUCUGCCCAUUUGUGGGGGAUAACCUCGGGAAACCGGGACUAAUACCGCAUACGACCUACGGGUGAAAGCAGGGGAUCUUCGGACCUUGCGCAGAUGGAUGAGCCGAUGCCGGAUUAGCUAGUUGGAGGGGUAAAGGCCCACCAAGGCGACGAUCCGUAGCUGGUCUGAGAGGAUGAUCAGCCACACUGGGACUGAGACACGGCCCAGACUCCUACGGGAGGCAGCAGUGGGGAAUAUUGGACAAUGGGCGCAAGCCUGAUCCAGCCAUGCCGCGUGUGUGAAGAAGGCCUUCGGGUUGUAAAGCACUUUUGUUGGGAAAGAAAAGCAGCCGGUUAAUACCCGGUUGUCAUGACGGUACCCAAAGAAUAAGCACCGGCUAACUUCGUG